ACCUUGCUCAGGGUGAACGCCGGCGGUGUGCCUAAUACAUGCAAGUCGAACGCGUUGGCCCAAUUGAUUGAUGGUGCUUGCACCUGAUUGAUUUUGGUCGCCAACGAGUGGCGGACGGGUGAGUAACACGUAGGUAACCUGCCCAGAAGCGGGGGACAACAUUUGGAAACAGAUGCUAAUACCGCAUAACAUCCUUGUUCGCAUGAACAACGCUUAAAAGAUGGCUUCUCGCUAUCACUUCUGGAUGGACCUGCGGUGCAUUAGCUUGUUGGUGGGGUAACGGCUUACCAAGGCGAUGAUGCAUAGCCGAGUUGAGAGACUGAUCGGCCACAAUGGGACUGAGACACGGCCCAUACUCCUACGGGAGGCAGCAGUAGGGAAUCUUCCACAAUGGGCGCAAGUCUGAUGGAGCAACACCGCGUGAGUGAAGAAGGGUUUCGGCUCGUAAAGCUCUGUUGUUAAAGAAGAACACGUAUGAGAGUAACUGUUCAUACGUUGACGGUAUUUAACCAGAAAGUCACGGCUAACUACGUGCCAGCAGCCGCGGUAAUACGUAGGUGGCAAGCGUUAUCCGGAUUUAUUGGGCGUAAAGAGAGUGCAGGCGGUUUUCUAAGUCUGAUGUGAAAGCCUUCGGCUUAACCGGAGAAGUGCAUCGGAAACUGGAUAACUUGAGUGCAGAAGAGGGUAGUGGAACUCCAUGUGUAGCGGUGGAAUGCGUAGAUAUAUGGAAGAACACCAGUGGCGAAGGCGGCUACCUGGUCUGCAACUGACGCUGAGACUCGAAAGCAUGGGUAGCGAACAGGAUUAGAUACCCUGGUAGUCCAUGCCGUAAACGAUGAGUGAUAGGUGUUGGAGGGUUUCCGCCCUUCAGUGCCGGAGCUAACGCAUUAAGCACUCCGCCUGGGGAGUACGACCGCAAGGUUGAAACUCAAAGGAAUUGACGGGGGCCCGCACAAGCGGUGGAGCAUGUGGUUUAAUUAGAAGCUACGAGAAGAACCUUACCAUGUCUUGACAUCUUGCGCCAACCCUAGAGAUAGGGUGUUUCUUUCGGGAACACAAUGACAGGUGGCGCAUGGUUGUUGUCAGCUCGUGUCGUGAGAUGUUGGGUUAAGUCCCGCAACGAGCGCAACCCUUGUUAAUAGUUGCCAGCAUUAAGUUGGGCACUAUAGUGAGACUGCCGGUGACAAACCGGAGGAAGGUGGGGACGACGUCAGAUCAUCAUGCCCCUUAUGACCUGGGCUACACACGUGCUACAAUGGACGGUACAACGAGUCGCGAACUCGCGAGGGCAAGCAAAUCUCUUAAACCCGUUCUCAGUUCGGACUGCAGGCUGCAACUCGCCUGCAAGAAGUCGGAAUCGAUAGUAAUCGCGGAUCAGCAUGCCGCGGUGAAUACGUUCCCGGGCCUUGUACACACCGCCCGUCACCCCAUGAGAGUUGUAACACCCAAAGUCGGUGGG
rnacentral:rRNA from 1 species